AGUCGCUCUCGGAAUUUGGAUGAAUUCAGACGUAUCACCCUCUCGGCCGUAUUAAGAAAAAUUCGAUCAGAGUCGACAGCACUUGUGACAAGAGCAGUUGGUGAUGGAAGUCGAAGCAGUGAUAAAAGGCAACGAUGUGGGAUGUGAUUCUGAAUUCUAAGGCAAUGGCUUUCAAUUUUACGCCUAUUGUAGAUGUUCAGAUCUUUUGGACGUCUAAGAUAUCUGGUGACAAGUUCAUUUGAACGGGUGAUUAAUGGGACUAGCACGUUAAAAGUGCGCCAUGCUUUUUUUUAUAACAAAACACUACCUUAACAGUGUGAAAGAGAAGGAGUGAAUCUCGAGGUGAACAGCAAUGGCGCGAGCUAACUCGUACCCUGACGCACAAAUAGCUCGGCGAAUAAAAAAUAAAUGAUAUCGUGCACAACGUAUUUCGAGACAAAUAUUUCUGGAGAUUCAUGCUGUCUCGUGCGUGUCCCUUGAAACAUAAAAUAUAUGAGAAAACGAUUUUUUCGUUACAAGUUGGAAACACUCUUUUAUCAUUGUAUUUUGCUGAACGACCCUGAGACUUCGAGGGAGAGAUAGUCGAGGAAGUGGAAGCAGUAAAAUGAAUUGGAGGCCGUACGCAUUCCUGAAAUUCCAACUUGUCCUGCUCUACUCGUGCGUCCUGGUUUCGCCUUUUUGCACCCUUUUCUCUUUCGAUGGCCAUGAGAAAGUUUAACCCCCAGAAAUAUUCUCAUGGAUUAUGCAAAGUGUAACGCGGUCAAUAGUCUGAGGGGUCUUGUCGAAUCUCCAUGGAACAUUGAAGCAAUAGAAAAUGAGAAUGGAGUGACUUCAUGGGAGUGAAGGAAUUGAAACUUGGGAAUUUUCAGCAACGAGCUGUUUUAAUUACAGGCCAAUCAUUGCCCCUACUGAUCGUAAACACUGGUUGGGUUCUUACCCUCUUUGUAUACACAUCUGUCUAUCUGCCUGCCUGCAGAAUCAUUGAAACGGGAAACUGGUCCAUGUGUAUCUUAUUGGUG